rnacentral:rRNA from 1 species
AGCGAACGCUGGCGGCAGGCUUAACACAUGCAAGUCGAGCGGGCCCUUCGGGGUCAGCGGCGCACGGGUGAGUAACGCGUGGGAAUGUGCCUUCAGGUCUGGAAUAACCCUGGGAAACGAGGGCUAAUACCGGAUACGCCCUUCUGGGGAAAGGUUUACUGCCUGAAGAUCGGCCCGCGUCGGAUUAGCUAGUUGGUAGGGUAACAGCCUACCAAGGCGACGAUCCGUAGCUGGUCUGAGAGGAUGAUCAGCCACACUGGGACUGAGACACGGCCCAGACUCCUACGGGAAGCAGCAGUGGGGAAUAUUGGACAAUGGGCGCAAGCCUGAUCCAGCCAUGCCGCGUGAGUGAUGAAGGCCUUAGGGUUGUAAAGCUCUUUUAUCCGGGACGAUAAUGACGGUACCGGAGGAAUAAGCCCCGGCUAACUUCGUG